rnacentral:rRNA from 1 species
AACGAACGCUGGCGGCAUGCCUAACACAUGCAAGUCGAACGAGACCUUCGGGUCUAGUGGCGCACGGGUGCGUAACGCGUGGGAACCUGCCCUUAGGCUCGGAAUAACCCCCCGAAAGGGGUGCUAAUACCGGAUAAUGUCUUCGGACCAAAGAUUUAUCGCCUUUGGAUGGGCCCGCGUUGGAUUAGCUAGUUGGUAGGGUAAAAGCCUACCAAGGCGACGAUCCAUAGCUGGUCUGAGAGGAUGAUCAGCCACACUGGGACUGAGACACGGCCCAGACUCCUACGGGAGGCAGCAGUGGGGAAUAUCGGACAAUGGGCGAAAGCCUGAUCCAGCAAUGCCGCGUGAGUGAUGAAGGCAUUAGGGUUGUAAAGCUCUUUUACCCGGGAUGAUAAUGACAGUACCGGGAGAAUAAGCUCCGGCUAACUCCGUG